rnacentral:tRNA from 1 species
GCUACAGUAGCUUAAAUAAAGCAUUGGUCUUGUAAAUCAAAGAAUAAAGUAUAGAACCUUUCUGCAGCU